GAGGAAUCAAGGUGCAGGGAGGGAAAGCUAUUAACAGUUUAAUUAAUAUGCUUUCCUGGAAAGGUGAGUUUUCAAUUUGGAGACUGGUUGAAAGUCUAAUGAAGAAAGCAAGGGAUUUCCACAGGGAUUGUGCAACACUAUUUUCACUCUAACCAUUUGAAUAUAAAAAAUGUUUUAAACAUUUUCUAACACUUUUUUUUUAACAGGAAAAUUAUGGAAUUUUU